UUACAUGUAGCCUAAUGCUAAUGUGUCAGCACAGAUUCUUUCGAACACCCGUUAAGUUAUCUGGUGAUAAAGCUUUUGAAUGCCAACGGUAUUGUUAUGUGAGGCUAGCAUUGUAAUUGUUAUAAAAGGAUAACGUUUCAUUGUAGUCGUAUGUUAAGUGUGUUUGGAUGAAGCAUCUGCUAAUCAUACACAUAGCUAACGGUAUAUGGACUCUACAGCCCAUUAUGAUGUGGUGAAGUGACUGUGCUGUGGCAGAGACUGUAGCGUGUGUGCUUUACAUGAGAGAGGUCAGGGGUUCAAGACUGAGUCGAUGGGUGUGAGGGAUGGGUAGGCCUGUCAUGGGAGGCGGAAAAAUGGCCAGCAGGAAGGUGUGCAGCAACCACUGGAAUGACCUCUUCCAUCUCCUCCACUAACAGCUCCUCAUCAGCCGGCAAUGGGAUGUGAUCCUGAAGAGCCAUGUUGCAGAAGCGCCGCCACCAAAACUACACUGCACGCCUUUGCAGGAUGGAGCUUCAGGCCACCAGCGGAUUUGCUCACACACCUUUCCACAUGCCCAAGGCCCUCUCCACAACAACGCGGAGCCGGCUAUGGGCGUUGUUGUACCGCGCCUCUGCCUCGCUGUUGGGCUCCUAGAUGGAGCAGUUGACAUGCUUGUAUUAUCAUAGGGGGUUGAUGGAAUAAAGUAGGUCUUGAAAUGUCAGUGCACUCAGGGAAUAUAGACAUGCAUUUGAAAACAACA